rnacentral:rRNA from 1 species
ACGGGAGGCAGCAGUGAGGAAUAUUGGUCAAUGGGCGCGGGCCUGAACCAGCCAAGUAGCGUGCAGGAUGACGGCCCUCCGGGUUGUAAACUGCUUUUAGUUGGGAAUAAAAGAGCGUACGUGUACGCUGUAUUGUAUGUACCAUCAGAAAAAGGACCGGCUAAUUCCGUGCCAGCAGCCGCGGUAAUACGGAAGGUCCGGGCGUUAUCCGGAUUUAUUGGGUUUAAAGGGAGCGUAGGCGGGUUUUUAAGUCAGUGGUAAAAUCGUGCGGCUCAACCGUACCUCGCCAUUGAAACUGGAAGCCUUGAGUGCACACAGGGAUGCUGGAAUUCGUCGUGUAGCGGUGAAAUGCUUAGAUAUGACGAAGAACUCCGAUCGCGAAGGCAGGUGUCCGGGGUGUAACUGACGCUGAGGCUCGAAAGUGCGGGUAUCAAACAGGAUUAGAUACCCUGGUA